ensembl:lncRNA
CAGAAAAGAUCUCUGACCACCAAAGGCAGGAACCACAAGAAACCACAAGCAGACACGGGUAGGAGGAACAGACACCCAGUAUCCUCAAACCCCGCACCAACAGGUGGGCGACCUACAAACUGGAGGGUAAUUACAUCCUCCGGAAGGUCUCCCACAGGAGUGAGAGUUCAGAGCCUCCCAUCAGGCUCCCCAGCCCGGCGGUCCAGCACCAGGAAGAUGCGCCCUCAGAGCAUUUGGCUUUGAGGCCUAGCAGGCCUUUAUUGCAGGAGCUCCCAGGACUGAGGAAAACAGAGGCUUCACUCUUAGAGGACGUAAACAAAAUCUCACACAGAAGCGGUAAUUUGAUAAGAGCGUGGGCCAGCCCUACCUGCGGGUCUUGGAGAGGCUCCUGGAGAGGUGGUAAGGGGUCGCCUGCAGCUCCUUCCAGAAACACAGACACUGGCGGCAGCCAUGUUUGGGAGCUCCUUCUCGCGAGAACUGCGGACUGGUAGGUGGAGCUUUAACAACAGGGAGGAGUUGCUGGAUGGUUUAUCUCAGGGGAGCCGCAGGACAAGUAGAUCUCUGCACCCACCCACCAGAAUCUUAAAAGAUCAAAGACUGAAGACACGAUGGAAGCCUGACCCUUCCCAGAGCUUAAGACAAGAGACAGACCAGGAGCACUGCCCUUCUUUUCCUCCUCGCUGUUCAGAGGCCCUUUUGCAAACAAAUCUAUUGAGCAUUGCUCAAAGCACUGUGGAAC